UCCAUGGAGGACUAGUGGUUAGGCCACGGCGCUCUGGACCCGCCCCGGCCCGGGUUCGAUUCCCGGCCAGGGAA